rnacentral:rRNA from 1 species
GUCGAACGGCAGCACGGGAGCAAUCCUGGUGGCGAGUGGCGAACGGGUGAGUAAUACAUCGGAACGUGUCCUGUAGUGGGGGAUAGCCCGGCGAAAGCCGGAUUAAUACCGCAUACGCUCUACGGAGGAAAGGGGGGGAUCUUAGGACCUCUCGCUACAGGGGCGGCCGAUGGCAGAUUAGCUAGUUGGUGGGGUAAAGGCCUACCAAGGCGACGAUCUGUAGCUGGUCUGAGAGGACGACCAGCCACACUGGGACUGAGACACGGCCCAGACUCCUACGGGAGGCAGCAGUGGGGAAUUUUGGACAAUGGGCGAAAGCCUGAUCCAGCAAUGCCGCGUGUGUGAAGAAGGCCUUCGGGUUGUAAAGCACUUUUGUCCGGAAAGAAAUCCCCUGGGAUAAUACCCCGGGGGGAUGACGGUACCGGAAGAAUAAGCACCGGCUAACUACGUGCCAGCAGCCGCGGUAAUACGUAGGGUGCAAGCGUUAAUCGGAAUUACUGGGCGUAAAGCGUGCGCAGGCGGUUCGCUAAGACAGAUGUGAAAUCCCCGGGCUUAACCUGGGAACUGCAUUUGUGACUGGCGGGCUAGAGUAUGGCAGAGGGGGGUAGAAUUCCACGUGUAGCAGUGAAAUGCGUAGAGAUGUGGAGGAAUACCGAUGGCGAAGGCAGCCCCCUGGGCCAAUACUGACGCUCAUGCACG